UUUUUCUUCUUCAUUGUCUUCAUUCAUCCUUAUCUAACUUCUCUCUACAUUCUCUCUCAUUUUUUUCCUUCACCUUCUUGGUGGCCAAACACCACACCCUUGCUCCACCCUUACACCACCACCUUAACCCACCAUCUCCACCACUGCCGGCCACCUUAUCUUGCCGGAAAAAGGGUCCGGUCGGCCACUCCUUAAAUCCAUCCGAAAAUAGCACAAUCGAAGCACCAACUCUAGACUUUUCUUAAUCUUUUGAAGAAUCAAGGCAUGGGGUUUAUUUUUUUGAUGGAUUAGAGGCUUGUAAUUGGUCCUAUUUAUUAAUUGUUAGGAUUGGAGGAAGGCGUCUCUACACCUCUUGGGAAUUAAUUUGUAGAGUCUCAAUCUACGCUUUUGCUAUUUUUGGAGAUUCAUAGACUUUUGUGUGGCUUGCCUCAACUUGGAAGACUAGAAUUUUUUUUGAAGGAUCAAAGGUGGGCAUCUUGUAGUUUAGGUUUUGCUUAGGGUCAUUCUAGGAUGUAAGUUUACUUUCUUUUUUUUUUUUUAAUGAAGGGGGUUGAUUGUAAAUAAUUGCUCAUGAAGUUGGAUGUAUUGAUGGAUUCGUGAAUAGUAUGUAUUAUUUUUGGGGAGGAAAUGCUUGGGAACUAUCUUAUAGCAUGAUAAUACUUUUUGUCUUUGAAUAGAUCAUCUCAUACAUGUUGGGCAAUUGAAAGGUCUUAUGCACUUUUGGUGAUGUGGUGAUGUGAU